UAUUUAUUAGAUAAAAAACCAAUGCCCUUCGGGGCUCCUUGGUGAAUCAUAAUAACUUAACGAAUCGCAUGGCCUUGCGCCGGCGAUGGUUCAUUCAAAUUUCUGCCCUAUCAACUUUCGAUGGUAGGAUAGUGGCCUACCAUGGUAUCAACGGGUAACGGGGAAUUAGGGUUCGACUCCGGAGAGGGAGCCUGAGAAACGGCUACCACAUCCAAGGAAGGCAGCAGGCGCGCAAAUUACCCAAUCCCGACACGGGGAGGUGGUGACAAUAAAUACUGAUACAGGGCUCUUUUGGGUCUUGUAAUUGGAAUGAGUACAAUUUAAAUCCCUUAACGAGGAACAAUUGGAGGGCAAGUCUGGUGCCAGCAGCCGCGGUAAUUCCAGCUCCAAUAGCGUAUAUUAAAGUUGUUGCAGUUAAAAAGCUCGUAGUUGAACCUUGGGCCUGGCUGGCCGGUCCGCCUCACCGCGUGUACUGGUCCGGCCGGGCCUUUCCUUCUGGGGAACCUCAUGCCCUUCACUGGGCGUGUUGGGGAACCAGGACUUUUACUUUGAAAAAAUUAGAGUGUUCAAAGCAGG
rnacentral:rRNA from 1 species